AUUGAACGCUGGCGGCAGGCCUAACACAUGCAAGUCGAACGGUAACAGGAAGCAGCUUGCUGCUUCGCUGACGAGUGGCGGACGGGUGAGUAAUGUCUGGGAAGCUGCCUGAUGGAGGGGGAUAACUACUGGAAACGGUAGCUAAUACCGCAUAAUGUCGCAAGACCAAAGAGGGGGACCUUCGGGCCUCUUGCCAUCGGAUGUGCCCAGAUGGGAUUAGCUUGUUGGCGGGGUAACGGCUCACCAAGGCGACGAUCCCUAGCUGGUCUGAGAGGAUGACCAGCCACACUGGAACUGAGACACGGUCCAGACUCCUACGGGAGGCAGCAGUGGGGAAUAUUGCACAAUGGGCGCAAGCCUGAUGCAGCCAUGCCGCGUGUAUGAAGAAGGCCUUCGGGUUGUAAAGUACUUUCAGCGGGGAGGAAGGGAGUAAAGUUAAUACCUUUGCUCAUUGACGUUACCCGCAGAAGAAGCACCGGCUAACUCCGUG
rnacentral:rRNA from 1 species